rnacentral:rRNA from 1 species
ACGCACGCUGGCGGCAUGCCUCACACAUGCCAGUCGCACGAGACCUUCGGGUCUAGUGGCGCACGGGUGCGUAACGCGUGGGAACCUGCCCUUAGGUUCGGAAUAACUCCCCGAAAGGGGUGCUCAUACCGGAUAAUGUCUUCGGACCAAAGAUUUAUCGCCUUUGGAUGGGCCCGCGUUGGAUUAGCUAGUUGGUAGGGUAAAAGCCUACCAAGGCGACGAUCCAUAGCUGGUCUGAGAGGAUGAUCAGCCACACUGGGACUGAGACACGGCCCAGACUCCUACGGGAGGCAGCAGUGGGGAAUAUUGGACAAUGGGCGAAAGCCUGAUGCAGCGAUGCCGCGUGAGUGAUGAAGGCCUUAGGGUUGUAAAGCUCUUUUAUCCGGGAUGAUAAUGACAGUACCGGGAGAAUAAGCCCCGGCUAACUCCGUG